GCAACACCACGCCAGAAAAAAACAAAAAAACAGACACAAAGCUGGCAGGAAACCUCGUGGCUGUGAGAGCAAAACAAUCCUGACAAGAUUACCUAACGUCACGUAACCGUAAAUUAAGACAUCCACAUUAGCCCAAUGUGUGAUUAUAGAUAUGCAAUUCAGUAAAUGGUACAUUAAAAGGAACCUGGCUGGGAGUUUCUGAUCCCAAAGCAGCUCAGCAUGGUUCAGACUGCCGCUUCAUUGAACCGGGACACUGGCGAUGACCUUCUCCGUAUCUGGCCGAUCAUUUUGUGCACACAGGUCCUCUGGGAUGGAAAUCUUCAAAACCUCAUCCAGUGGAUGCAGGCACUUGGGGAAAACUGGGUCCUCAUGUGUGUGGAUAUCCAGCACAUGGUUCAGGAUGGAGGUCCAUUUCACCACUCUCUCAGGUCCAGUGGUCGAUGAUGCUGCAGUCCAGUACAUGUGGUUUUGGAUACUCGGCAUCCACUUUAUUAGUUUUUCACCAUCCUUCAUCUUGGCGAAUGCCUCCAGUUGUUUUGAAAUGUCUA